AUUGAACGCUGGCGGAAUGCUUUACACAUGCAAGUCGAACGGUAGAGGGGGCAACCCCUCGAGAGUGGCGAACGGGUGAGUAAUAUAUCGGAACGUGCCCAGUCGUGGGGGAUAACGUAGCGAAAGUUACUCUAAUACCGCAUACGAUCUACGGAUGAAAGCGGGGGAUCGCAAGACCUCGCGCGAUUGGAGCGGCCGAAAUCAGAUUAUGUAGUUGGUGGGGUAAAGGCUAACCAAGACAACAAUCUGUAGCUGGUCUGAGAGGACGACCAGCGAAAAUAGAAGUGAGACACGGUGCAGACGCCUCCGGGAGGCAGCAGUGGCGAAUCUUGGACAAUGGAGGAAAGUCUGAUCCAGCGAUUCCGCAGGCAGGAUGAAGGCCUUCGGGUUGUAAUCUGCUUGUGUACGGAACGAAAAGGUGUCCAUUAAUACUGGGAGCUCAUGACGGUACCGUAAGAAUAAGCACCGGUGAACUACGUGCCAGCAGCCGCCGUAA
rnacentral:rRNA from 1 species